ensembl:lncRNA
GGGAAGGUAAAAUAAAAGUGCCAGGGCUCCUGUGUCGACGUCGUGGAAAAUCGUCCUCAGCGGUUUCCUGCGGGUCUCCAUUAUCAGGCCUCGUUGGUAGACCAGCUUUUCCCCCCCCGACUUCCUGCCUCGUUUCCUCCCCUUCCAACCCGCUUCCCCUCCCACACUCCCCUCAAUCACAUGAAUCAACGCUGCCAGGGAGAGAGGGCGAGGUGCCGGCUAUAAACCACACUGCUAACUUACUAAAAGUCAAGUUACUACGCGUAGUUUUCAUUGUGCAGCGAGCUCAUUUCUUCACGUAGCGUCGGGUAGUCGCGCGCAUCACCGCGUCGCUCUGGGUUUUUAUUUCAUUAAUCCUGCUGUGAGAGCUGCGUGAGGUUCCCCUCUUCCCUGUUGGACGUGAAACCACGAUGCCGGUCAGGACGGAGCUUCUCCUGUUCAGACGUGGUUGGCAAGCCCUUAAAAACCAGCACAGCUCCGGCCAAUAAGUAGAAAACCCAGAAAGCGUAGGAUGACGUGAGACUUGAGCAACGAGACGGUUCCCCUCGUUCCCGGAUAUGUGGCAACUUACACAAGUGUAACAACGAACAUUCUGGGAAGGUUAAGGAGGUUAAGGUGGACCACUGAUGAUUUGAGCUUUGGGGUCGCGCUUUGGCCGCGCAACACUUGGCAGUGCGCGUCGUUGCCAGGACGACGUCCACAAACGCACUCCUACCCGAUGAAGAUGAGGGCUGAAGGACGUGGAUGCGGGUCAGCGAACACACAGAAAGAGGCGAAAUUGAGAGGGAGCCUCAAACGCUUAGAAACCUUGCAUUUAAUUUGAGUGCGAACCAGCGGGGGAUGGGAGAGAGAGAAGAGGGAGAGAAUAAAGAAGAUAAGUGUGCCUAUUGUACGUGUGAAUGAGAAGGAACAGGGCGUAGGGAGGCAGAGAGAGAGAACGUGAAGGCUGGAGGGAUACAAGCAUGACUAAUCUCGCUGUCAUCCGUAGAAAAAACAAAUCCACAGUAAACCUUUCUCACAGCUUUCCAUCAAUCGCAGAGGGUUUGAUCUAUGGCGGCGAUCGGCGUGCCUCCCGGGGAAGGUCGGGCUGUUGUUUCGCCACAGGACGUGACACAGAGCAUGUGUGAGGCGCCUGAUAGAGAGGCAGAGGCCGACGAGAAAAGGAAAGAAAAUAAAGAGAGAGGGGAAAGGGAAGCACUUAGGUGUGCUUGAUAUCCCAUCAGCGCCCAGUACCCAUCUCAGGCGUGGAAAACCACCACCAUCGGGGUUCACUGCUGGCCCCCGAAAACCAGCCGGGGGGGGGCGGCCAGAGCCCCUUUUUGAGCCGAGAUCAAAUGGUGGACGGAUAAAAGCUUGAAAAACAAUGCCCCCCCCUCCCCUCCUCUCCCCCCCGUGUCCGAGAGCCAAAUAUGCAGCCGCAAUACGAGUUCCUUUUUGUUCUUGAAAAUGCUCCUCAGAUGCUUGACGCAAGACCAAGAGAGGGAGGAGGAAUAAAGGGGGGAGGGAAGGGGGGGGGGACAAAACAAACAGCAAUUAAGGUAGUUUGUGGAUCCGUUUGAAAGAUCCAUCCUUUAGGAAACAUCUGCCAUCUGUCUUGAUGCAGGAGGCCAGGAAAGGACUGAUUCGGAAUCCGUGCCUUUCUAAGCUGACGAUCCAACGCGCUCGCGCACGCUGCAACCAACAACACGGACACUCACACACAAGGUCUAUUUUUUGCUACAGUCCAAAAAAUAAAAAAUAAAGCAUUUAUAGUCUAAACACAGAUAAGACCCGUAUCACUUUGCCUUCGGCUGGAAAUUCCAGACAAGCGUCCAAUGGGCGCUGGAGGAUAAGGACAUAUCUUUUGAGGCAGAAAGCUCUUGGUUGUCUCACGGAGAGAAGUUUUUCACAAUCCGCAGCGACGAAAGUACACAGCUUCUAUCUGGCGUCCAGAUAUAAAGCGGGAAUGCCAAAGAGUACAAGCGUCUGACCCCGGAGGUCCCCGAGAGGAAGCAGGCAGAGAGCAAACUGUGAUCCACUGUGAGAGGUACACGGGGAAACACAAACAAUAGUUUCACAAAUGUGUCCCGUGCACUUUCCUGAGCGCGAACGCCGACGGACAGGGAUUGCAGGAGUAGGGAAACGCCGCUGCGCUGUUCUACUUCACAGGUAUUCAGGGAAAAAUCCAUAAUUCCGCCGGAGGGAUUCGUCAAUCAGUACAUCUGAAACGUUUCAGGCCGCGCGAAACGCCAAAGAGCUGCCCGGGGAAAUGAAAAGAUAAACGUGAAACAAGUCCGACACGGUGUGUUUACACCCCACAGUGAGGCGCUCAGCCCGCUCGUGCAAACUGCCGCCGCAGUAAGUCCAACAUGGCGGCGGCUCGAGUGGCUUGUUGUGCAAUAAACAGGGGCGCAGGCUGCAGGGCGCCGUUGUUUUUCAUGUCAACACUGGAGUUGUUCGACCAGAGGACACACACACACACACACACCUCUGUCCCUUUUGACCUGCUACUGUGAGGCACCUUUGACUCCAGCAGGACUCCCCGACACUCAGAUACAAAUUCAGUUGCGUUUCGUUUGUGCAUCGUGUUCAGCAUCAGCCUUUUGUCAAAAUGACGCAUCUCUUUUUAACAGGCAGCAAAGAGCCGCCGGAAUGCUUUGCUAAACAGUUCUGGGAUAGAAAUGUGUUUUGUGUGCAGCUCUUGAUUCCUUCAAGUGUUUACAAGCACAUCGACCAAUCGGGACCCGAGGUCGCUCUUGGACGGCUGGUUGGAAUAUCAAAACCAAAGAGGAGGAAAAAGAACACAGAACAAUCCAAAUCCCGCUUUUUUGUUCCCUCGUAGACUAAAUCUUCAAACUGGCGGGUUUGUGUUGCAACCAUUGGGGAGGUAAAGCAUUUGGGUGAUGCUCGCUGUCUGAAGUUAAAAAAAAACGUUUGCGGUUUGACAUUAAUUUGUGUGUCUCUGCAGCUCAGUCGGAUCAAAGCGGGUUUGUGGAUCCGGCCCUCGUCUGCGCUGUACGGUCACAUCAGAAAGGAAAGAUCCAUCUGUUCCUUGCUGAGAGGAGCGAGUAGGGCUCACAGGAGGGCGCGCACACACACACACACACACACACACAUCUCCCAUCACCAGCUGGAUCGGAGAAAAAGCAGCAAUUUGGCAACAGACGCUGAGCUCUCUAAUGGUUCCAUCCACCACGCCCUCCGCGCUGCACUCCUCCAUCAGCUCAAACCCGCUGACUGAAAAAACAAAAGUCCUAUUGCAACAUUCCUCCUGCAGAUUCACACACACACACACACACACAUGUACGCACUAUCCUGUUAACCACCCCCACUUCCAUGCAAUCAGAGGCUCAGAAUAGGAAGGAGGGAGAGGAAGCGGCCCUGCAUUCACAGGCUGGGAACAAGGAGAAGGAAAAACAGCCGGAACCUGGAAUUUACGGAGGAAAAAACAACGGCCAUCCAAAAAUACCUCAGGACCAUCUCCGCAGAUAAACAGAAACAUCAUUACUCUCAUCCUGCGGCUCGGGACAGUUUUUCCUUCCACACUUCCUUCCAUCUCAACUUUGCUUCCAGCGGCUCAAUAUCGAGGAAACUUCAAGUGGCAACCGCUCUUUUGAGAGGCAUUCGCCCCCCUCCACCUUCCACCCUCCGCCCCCAUGUGCUACUCAGGUCUUUCUGCUCCGGCCUUCCUCAGGUCAGGGAAGCCACGCAGAAGGUCCAAACCUCAUUAGGCCCGAAGCUAAUCAGCGCUAAGUGGAGCCGCCGGACAGCUGGUCUCCCUGCUGCUGGGGGACGAGUCCAGCCUCUUAAAUGUCGUGUUUAUUUACUUUCCAUUGUCCUUUAACUUCCUCGAGAGGAUUCACAAAGUUCUGCGUUUGCGCCGCAGUCACACGAGCUGGACGGGAGCUGCAACCUGAGGCUCCUCCGCUCGAGUGAUGCAUAGAUACGUGCGGGGGGGAGGGGGGGGAGGAGGGGGAGGACCGCCGCCGGCGUAGAAAGGCCGCGCGCUCUGAUCAGACAUCCGUUUUACGCAGAGAUCUGCUCCGUUCAGCAGGCAGAAGCUAAGCAGGUCGUCAUGUGACAGAGCCCUUCCUGUGGCUGGGAGGUGGGGGUCACCGACCCCCAGGUCAUUUCCUCCGACCUCUUCUUCCUAAUUGAUUCAAUUUCCGAGCCAUUGGUCUCCUAUUAGGAUGUUCUAAUAGACCCGUGCGCCUCCUCUUUAAUAUCUCCUUCUUUUGUCCCCAAAAUAAGGAGAAAUUCUUCACUCUGCGUUAUUAAAUGUUGUCUAACUCCACUCCGCUCUUUUGUAUAGCGAGGACAAUGACCUUUAAACGACAUAAUGAACCUUUCAGUGACGUAGCGGCGUUGUUGAUGUGGGUCUGCAAAAAAACGUAACAGUUUGACCUGAAAGUCACAACGGACUUUACUGCUGAUCGACUUCAUUACAAAUGUGUUUUCGGCCAUCGGUCGAUUACGGCCUUUAAUGUUAGUGGUGCAACGUCCCGCAUGCAGCUGAUACCAAGUAUUAUUUCCAUAGAAUGACACACUGACACGCCGGCAUGCUUUUUGAAACUUGACAUGUGGUUUUAAAAGAAUCAGACAUGAAACUCCAGAAUCUUCUUUUCCAUUUUAUUCCAUUAACGAGUUUCCUCUCUGCUACGGGAUCAUGUUUUUGGAGACUUUUGCACACUGAACUCGGUGACACAUGCCGCGGACAUUCGGGCGGCAGGUACCCAUGUGACCAGUAUUUUGCCUGCUCGAGGCUGCAGGCCGGGCAAGCGGGCGAGUCGGGCACCGCUUGGAGCAGCAGAGUCGCGCUCACUGUUUAAAAACAUUGUUCUAUAGUUAUUUUGCCGGUUGAGCAGACCCACGUCUUCCCUCGUGACACGGACACGUUGCUUUUCACCGGUUGCCGCUGCAUGAAGGAGACACGUCAGUGCGUCAAUGUCCAUAAACAGCUGCUGGGUCGGACCUGUUCCUGUGUUCAUGUAAACACACUGUGACAUCAGGGAAAUCAGACUCCGGAUUGUCCUGCUUCUGCUUUGGUCGGUUUGUUUGUGCUAUCAAACCUGACAGAACCUCCGGUGACGACAGCGCUUCUGCUCCGGAGAGAGAGGAGGCCCGGGGUCAGGUGGCGAGGAGGCCCGGGGGUCAGGUGGUGAGGAGGCCGGGGUCAGGUGGCGAGGACGGCCGAGGUCAGGUGGCGAGGAGGCCCGGGGUUGGGUGGCGAGGAGGCCGAGGUCAGGAGGCGAGGACGCCGGGGCAAUGAAACGGCGUUCAUUAUUAACGAUGGCGACGCAGAGCAAAAACAUUGACGUUUGACCAAAAAACGACGGACCACACAGUUGCCCAAAAACAAACAUUUCGAUUUGCUUGUUCUAAUCUGCGGAGGCACUCGGCCUCACGUGGGGGAGGAAUCUUUCUGUUUCGGGAUUCUUUAUAGAAUAACAAGACAGAAUGUUUGCUUAGAUUCACUGGAGUUAACAAACAUCAGCGGAGUCGCUGGCGAGCAAAAACGAGAACGAUCCCGAGUCCCGGCUGGUUGCUGAUGCGGCGCCUCCGUCUGAUGGCGGCGUCCCGCCUCUCGCCGGGAAUACGUGUCUUCAUCUGCAGCACUUUGUGUUUAUUAGUUCUGGUGUCUGACAUUUUCCCAACGCAACGUCUUAUUUAAACAAGCGCACGCUGCUUUAAUCACAAACUCCUCUUUUAAGGUAAAUACAAGCGGAUGGCCUGUCAGAUCGGCAUUUCACAAAAACGGCAUUUCAGACGUGUGUGUGCACACACAUCGUGUGUGUGUGUGUGUGUGUGUGUGUGUGUGUGUGUGUGUGUGUGUGUGUGUUGGCCCCACUGAGAGCGUUAUUACAAAGAGCCAAUAAGAGCGAAGGACCACACUCUAGCACAUCCUGUUUGACUUGACCUCAGAGGAUAUUCUCCUUUCCCAAGCAAACAAACCGCCGGGCUUUUUGGAUCGUACCAACGUCGGAGGGGAAGGGAGGGGACGGGGGACGGGGGACGGGGGACGGGGGGGUCAGGGGGUAGUUUUUGGGAGCAGAGAGACGAGAAAUAAAUACUGCAAGACGAGGUUUUAUCUCUGAGAACACGCCGGCUUACUAAUUGUGUACUGACAACAAAUGAAUGCAAGCCCAAAUAUUCACCUAUUUCUUUUUGUCAAUUCAUUGGCCAAUAAUUUUCAACAUUCAGCAAAUGGGAACCCGUUGGAAUCACUAAAGCGAUAUAUCAAUCAUCAAAUUAGUUGCAGAUUAACUCAACACAAAUCACUGGAAGAGUCUACAUGUCUAAACCUCAGGGCCACAGAUCAGCAAAAACCGGUCACGCCCGUACAAACCAUUUGAAAGCAGCUUUUCAAACCGUCCUCCGUGACGUUCAAAUCACUGCGAUUGUGUGUUUUAAGAACUUCGUAAGCUGAAAAAAACGCGAAAAAACACGCGUGAGCGAGGCCCGUGAGGCGCGUUAAAUCGGCGACAAAAUAAGGAAGAACACAGCAGGAGUCCUUGCUAAUCGGCGGCCUAUCGUGCACUACAUGCUCACGAUUUUGUUCUCAGCAAUAAUUAUCAGAGCGAACGAAGGUUCUGUGUUCGUGGUGAAACGAAAUCCAAUGCUUGAAUCAACUUCAAGCAAGCGGCUGUCACUAUAUUUAGCCUAUAGACCCUGUGUUUCCAUGGCUACCAGGGUUGAAGCGAGCCGAAGGCCGCAACAUUCAUGCGAUCUAUGUGCUCGGGAUCAUUUCAGUAAUCACAGCAUGACUUGUGAAUCAUUUCCACCUGGGUCCCAUAAUGCGAUCCCACCUAAAUUUCAUUAACAGACACGCUGCUUCCAAUUUAAAGGGUUUUUUUCCCCUAAAGGCUCCCUGCCCACUUUUCAGAGAAGCCUUUUUCUGUGCAACUGAAACAUUUUAUUUAAUUCCCUCAAAGCAGGAGAAUCUGUUUUGGAUUCACUUGGACUUCAGUUACACUCGAAUCCAACCGACGACUGAGACUUUUAUUCCUGCUCAGCAACUCAUUGGACCCCAAACUGAACUGAGGAGCAGCUGACCUCCACCCCGUCCGCCGGCGGGGAAGGUGAGUUCUGGCGACGGUCAGCAGCUCCCCGGCGGCCGGUGUUGCCGGUGGACUCGUCCACAGGUGGGUGCUGGUCCACGGCUGUUUGUAGUAAACACCGAAAAGUCAGACUAAUAGAAAGAAAGUUCCAAAACAGAACAUGGUGGGUGGGUGGGGGGGGGGGGGCACAUAUGUGUGAAGGGUCAACGUUUGCCUUUGGGUCUGGUCACACAUCCACGGUAUAUUUCCGCCACUUAAAUCCAAAAUGGCGUGACUGUUAUUCCCAUUCCCACCAGAGAAAACCAGUAAACGUGUUUUUUCGCGGAUCGAAUAACUGCGUAAAGGACUUCGGGUUUCAGAGCGAUUUACGAUAUUCAACUUUGACGUUGGUUCAUCAAAGGAGCGAAGCGCUCUUAACUUCUCCGCCUCUGUGGGUCACGUCCUCCGCCUGCGGCCGCGGCCGGAUGAGAACGCCAGAGAGGCUCCGAUCCGCUUUCAUGUGGGUCACCGUGGACUUCCUCAAGGGGGCUUUUUCAGGUGCGGCUCCGGGGG